AUGGCUAACCUGGGACCGAGAUGAUGGGGAAAUCUGCCUGGAACUUCCUGUUUUAYAUCACGGUCAACCCAUUCUUCCUGUGACUGUCUAUGAAGUGCAUGUGACAACAGGAGAGCUGUGGAAUGCUGGAACUGAAGCUGAUGUCUAUAUUUCUAUCUAUGGAGAAAGAGGUGAUACAGGUUCAAGACAGCUGCACAGGUCACCAAAACCCAAGAAAUUUUUAAAUGGACAGACAGACAACUUUCCUAUUGAAGCUGUGCACCUUGGGCACUUGUACAAGAUCGUUAUUGGACACAAUGGCCUUG